GAAUAGCCUUCCGAAAGGAGGAUUAAUACAUCGUAACUUAAGGAAGUGGCAUCACUAUCUUAAUAUAGCUCCGGCGGUUUUGGAUGAGCGUGCGCCUGAUUAGGUAGUUGGCGGGGUAACGGCCCACCAAGCCUGCGAUCAGUAACUGGUGUGAGAGCACGACCAGUCACACGGGCACUGAGACACGGGCCCGACUCCUACGGGAGGCAGCAGUAAGGAAUAUUGGUCAAUGGACGCAAGUCUGAACCAGCCAUGCCGCGUGAAGGAUGAAGGUCCUCUGGAUUGUAAACUUCUCUUAUAUGGGACGAAACCUCUUAUUCUUAAGAGACUGACGGUACCAUAGGCAUAAG
rnacentral:rRNA from 1 species